rnacentral:rRNA from 1 species
UACGAAGGGUGCAAGCGUUAAUCGGAAUUAUUGGGCGUAAAGAGCUUGUAGGCGGUUUGUCGCGUCUGCUGUGAAAAUCCGGGGCUCAACCCCGGACUUGCAGUGGGUACGGGCAGACUGGAGUGUGGUAGGGGAGACUGGAAUUCCUGGUAUAGCGGUGGAAUGCGCAGAUAUCAGGAGGAACACCGAUGGCGAAGGCAGGUCUCUGGGCCACUACUGACGCUGAGAAGCGAAAGCAUGGGGAGCGAACAGG